AUGGCUUCCCCGGGGGGCCGCUGACGCGCGGCUGAGAGGUGGGCUGCAGCCCAUGACCCGCUGAACCUGAUCCGGCUUAUACCGGCGUAGGGAGGGUCUGCGGCUGGCCC
rfam:Sphingomonas sp. Leaf34 contig_2, whole genome shotgun sequence.